UACGGAGGGUGCAAGCGUUGUUCGGAAUUAUUGGGCGUAAAGCGCGUGUAGGCGGUCAUCUAAGUCUGGUGUGAAAUCCUGGGGCUCAACCCCAGAAGUGCACUGGAUACUGGACGACUAGAGGACGAGAGAGGAAAGUGGAAUUCCUGGUGUAGGGGUGAAAUCCGUAGAUAUCAGGAGGAACAUCAGUGGCGAAGGCGGCUUCCUGGCCUGUUCUUGACGCUGAGGCGCGAAAGCUAGGGGAGCAAACAGG
rnacentral:rRNA from 1 species